GAUUUAUCCAAAUUAGAUGGUCAGGACAAUACCAGUUGUAGCAUGGAUAUUGAUGCUGGUAACCAGGAAGAGGGAAAAAAUGUUCUCCCGGCUGCUGCUACAAGUGUAGAUGUAGGGAACACACCUGUAUCUUCAGAUCAAGCUGUCUCGAAUGAAGGGAGUGAUGCGGUUCAGGCACCUGUAUCUUCAGAUCAAGCUGUCUCGAAUGAAGGGAGUGACGCGGUUCACGCACCUGUAUCUUCGGAUGAAGCUGCGUCAAAUGAAGAGAGCGGCGCGGUUCCUGAAUAAAACAUCUUCCGCAUACCUCAUCUGCAGCGGAUGUCACAAGCAUGAUGCCAAAGGUGACUACUGAACACUAGCUCGCGUGCCAUGUUUGUUUUGUUAAUUUUCGUUUUGACUCUCUGCUGGUCUGAACAUUUGUGGAAGUAAAACCUGAUAUUUACAGUUUUCUAUUGAAAAUAUGAACUUGAGGAAACAGGUCAUCCCGCUAGUGGUGCUUUUGACCUUUUUUUUAUGGGCCACGCUUCGGGUCUGGGUUUCGAAGAAGCACCCAUGUUUGACCUGAUCAUGUGGGGCAAAAUAUCACCGUCUUUUGUGGUGGUGGCUGCAGCCGGUGUUUGUGGGAUGUGGGAUUAUAACUGCUGCUGUUGCGCUGCUGGUGCUGUUCAUGUUGCUAGUGCUACUUGCGAUAUGAUUUUCAAGAUGUGGCGCUUUAGCUUUGCUCAUGUUGGUCAUGUCUGUUAGCCUCACUGGUUUCAAGAGGUUUUAAGAAUAAAAAACUGCUCCUUGUGUGUG
rnacentral:lncRNA from 1 species